AGAGUUUGAUCCUGGCUCAGGAUGAACGCUAGCAGAACGCCUAACACAUGCAAGUCGAACGGGCUUGUUGACUUCGGUUAACAAGUUAGUGGCAAACGGGCGAGUAACACGUGCUUAAUCUGCCCUGGAGAUGGGAACAACUACGGAGACGUAGCUAAAUCCCAAUACGCUCAUGAGAAUGAAAAUAUCAUGAGGAAACAAUUUAUUGCUCUAGGAGGAGGGUGCGGCCUAUCAGGUUGUUGGUGAGGUAAUGGCUCACCAAGCCUAUGACGGGUAGCCGGUCUGAGAGGAUGUCCGGCCGCAAUGGAACUGAGACACGGUCCAUACCCCUACGGGGGGCAGCAGUGGGGAAUCUCGGUCAAUGGGCGAAAGCCUGAACCAGCGAUUCUGCGUGAAGGAUGAAGCCUCGCGGGGUGUAAACUUCUUUUUUGGGGGAAGACGAAUGACGGUACCCCACGAAUAAGGGACGGCUAACUACGUGCCAGCAGCCGCGGUAAUACGUAGGUCCCAAGCGUUAUCCGGAAUUACUGGGCGUAAAGAGUCUGUAGCUGGUUAUGUAAGUCUAUUUUUAAAGAUCUUGGCUCAACCAAGGGAAGGGAAUGGAUACUGCAUAUCUGGAGGUUUUUAGGGGUUAGUAGAAUUCCCGGUGGAGGGGUGAAAUCCGUUGAUAUUGGGAGGAAUGCCGAAAGCGAAAGCAGCUAACUAUAAUUAUCCUGACAGUGAGAGACGAAAGCAUGGGUAGCAAACGGGAUUAGAUACCCCGGUAGU
rnacentral:rRNA from 1 species